UACGUAGGCAGCGAGCGUUGUUCGGAGUUACUGGGCGUAAAGAGUGCGUAGGCGGUUUUCUAAGUUUGGUGUGAAAUCUCCCGGCUCAACUGGGAGGGUGCGCCGAAGACUGGAAGGCUUGAGUAUGGGAGAGGUAAGCGGAAUUCCUGGUGUAGCGGUGAAAUGCGUAGAUAUCAGGAGGAACACCUGCGGUGUAGACGGCUUACUGGACCAUAACUGACGCUGAGGCACGAGAGCGUGGGUAGCAAACAGG
rnacentral:rRNA from 1 species